rnacentral:rRNA from 1 species
CAUAGGUUAAUGAGGCGAACCGGGGGAACUGAAACAUCUAAGUACCCCGAGGAAAAGAAAUCAACCGAGAUUCCCCCAGUAGCGGCGAGCGAACGGGGAGCAGCCCAGAGCCUGAAUCAGUGUGUGUGUUAGUGGAAGCGUCUGGAAAGGCGCGCGAUACAGGGUGACAGCCCCGUACACAAAAAUGCACAUACUGUGAGCUCGAUGAGUAGGGCGGGACACGUGGUAUCCUGUCUGAAUAUGGGGGGACCAUCCUCCAAGGCUAAAUACUCCUGACUGACCGAUAGUGAACCAGUACCGUGAGGGAAAGGCGAAAAGAACCCCGGCGAGGGGAGUGAAAAAGAACCUGAAACCGUGUACGUACAAGCAGUGGGAGCACGCUUAGGCGUGUGACUGCGUACCUUUUGUAUAAUGGGUCAGCGACUUAUAUUCUGUAGCAAGGUUAACCGAAUAGGGGAGCCGAAGGGAAACCGAGUCUUAACUGGGCGUUAAGUUGCAGGGUAUAGACCCGAAACCCGGUGAUCUAGCCAUGGGCAGGUUGAAGGUUGGGUAACACUAACUGGAGGACCGAACCGACUAAUGUUGAAAAAUUAGCGGAUGACUUGUGGCUGGGGGUGAAAGGCCAAUCAAACCGGGAGAUAGCUGGUUCUCCCCGAAAGCUAUUUAGGUAGCGCCUCGUGAAUUCAUCUCCGGGGGUAGAGCACUGUUUCGGCAAGGGGGUCAUCCCGACUUACCAACCCGAUGCAAACUGCGAAUACCGGAGAAUGUUAUCACGGGAGACACACGGCGGGUGCUAACGUCCGUCGUGAAGAGGGAAACAACCCAGACCGCCAGCUAAGGUCCCAAAGUCAUGGUUAAGUGGGAAACGAUGUGGGAAGGCCCAGACAGCCAGGAUGUUGGCUUAGAAGCAGCCAUCAUUUAAAGAAAGCGUAAUAGCUCACUGGUCGAGUCGGCCUGCGCGGAAGAUGUAACGGGGCUAAACCAUGCACCGAAGCUGCGGCAGCGACGCUGAUGCGUUGUUGGGUAGGGGAGCGUUCUGUAAGCCUGUGAAGGUGUGCUGUGAGGCAUGCUGGAGGUAUCAGAAGUGCGAAUGCUGACAUAAGUAACGAUAAAGCGGGUGAAAAGCCCGCUCGCCGGAAGACCAAGGGUUCCUGUCCAACGUUAAUCGGGGCAGGGUGAGUCGACCCCUAAGGCGAGGCCGAAAGGCGUAGUCGAUGGGAAACAGGUUAAUAUUCCUGUACUUGGUGUUACUGCGAAGGGGGGACGGAGAAGGCUAUGUUGGCCGGGCGACGGUUGUCCCGGUUUAAGCGUGUAGGCUGGUUUUCCAGGCAAAUCCGGAAAACUAAGGCUGAGGCGUGAUGACGAGGCACUACGGUGCUGAAGCAACAAAUGCCCUGCUUCCAGGAAAAGCCUCUAAGCAUCAGGUAACAUCAAAUCGUACCCCAAACCGACACAGGUGGUCAGGUAGAGAAUACCAAGGCGCUUGAGAGAACUCGGGUGAAGGAACUAGGCAAAAUGGUGCCGUAACUUCGGGAGAAGGCACGCUGAUAUGUAGGUGAAGCGA